rnacentral:rRNA from 1 species
UACGAAGGGUGCAAGCGUUACUCGGAAUUACUGGGCGUAAAGGGUGCGUAGGCGGGUCUUUAAGUCAGGGGUGAAAUCCUGGAGCUCAACUCCAGAACUGCCUUUGAUACUGAAGAUCUUGAGUCCGGGAGAGGUGAGUGGAACUGCGAGUGUAGAGGUGAAAUUCGUAGAUAUUCGCAAGAACACCAGUGGCGAAGGCGGCUCACUGGCCCGGUACUGACGCUGAGGCACGAAAGCGUGGGGAGCAAACAGG